GGGGUGUCAAAUCGGAUCAACGGAUCGGGUUUGGGUCGGACUCGUCGGAUUCGGGUUGAAACGGAUCGGAUUGGAACGGAUUAAUUUGGCUAACGGGUCGGAUCGGAUCGGAUUGAAAACUUAAUAGACCGGAUCGGGUCGGAUUUUUUAUUCACGGAUUCAUAUCGGAUCGGGUUGUAAACGGGUCGGAUUGUAGUCGGUUUGGGUCGGAUCGGAUCGGAUUGGAAUACGACGGAUUGUUAACGGGUUUAGUCGGACUAUAACGGGUUCGGGUUCAUGUCGGUCGGAUUCAUAUCGGAUCGGAUUCAUUUCGGGUCGGAUUCAUAUCGGAUCGGAUUCAUUUCGGAUCGGAUUCAUAUCGGAUCGGAUUAAUCGGUAACAGACUAAAACGGGUUGGAUUGAAACUAAUUUAGCCUGGUUACAUUGGAUUCAGUUUUAUAUUGGUUUGGGUAAUUAUCGGAUCGGGUUAUUUGGUAGCGGGUUGGAAUUUGGGUCAGUUCGGUUCCAAAUUAUAUAUUAUCAUAUCGAUGACUUAAUUAGGGGACGAAAAUAAUAAAUAACUUUUAAAAGUAAUAAGAAUUUAAGAUUAGUAAUAUAAGUUAUUGAAUAUAUUAUUAUAUCGAUGGGUUGGAAUUAGUUCGGAUUAAACAGGUCACGGAUUAAAAACGGAUCGGAUUAAAAGGGUCACGGGUUGAAACGGGUCGGAUUAAACGGGUCACAGAUUAAAAACGGGUCGGAUUAAACGGAUAUUCCUCGGGUUGGAACGGAUUCGGAUUGAAACGGAUCGGAUUGUAAACGGGUUUCGGAUCGCUUCGGAUCGGAUUAAAUGGAUCCGGAUUGUCAUGGAUCGGUCUGUUAACGGAUUCGGAUCUUAAUCGGAUCAAUACUAACGGGUUGGGUCGGAUUCGGGUUGAAUAUAAUCGGAUCGGAUCGGAUUUCGGAUUUUAACUCGCGGGUUCUAAACGGUUCGGAUUCUAAACGGUCGGACAAACCCAUCGGGUUCACUGGAUCGGAUUGAGAAUUGACACCCCUAAAUUUAACCCAUCCUACGAUAUCUACCUAAUCGGAACAUAACUACAUAAGGCCAUAAUUGACAAGUUCAUAACCUGGAGAAAAAAAAAGGAGGGAAAAUGAACCCAGAAUUGAAAAGAAGUGAUUUGAAUUUGUCUGAUACUCCAUGUCUCAGUAUAUUUCAGGGUUCUGCAAAUCUUCAACUGCGCGAACAACUAGGUCCAUUCACUAAUAAGUAAGAAUAUGGGUCAAAGACAUAGUCCAGACUUGCUCAUAUUACCCAUGUAGCAUCUAAUGGAAGCAUAUUAUGCAGGUGAUACCCACAGAAAACUACUGUGACAUUCUCAAGGCGUAAUGUUGCUAAUGGUUGUACUACUUGUACAUUUUGGAGACUAUGACUUUUUAAAGUGGAUACGUAUCUCAGUCCCUUUCAUAACGAACCGACAAGGACAACGCACACGGAUGGUCACUGAUAAGACUCCUGUCUUAAUAUAUCAUCGUACAAGACCUUGAUCAGAGUUGGUUGCGGAAGUCUCACCCAAUAUGGUGUUACCUGCAUCUAAAUUUCGAGAAAAUGAUUUUGGCACACCAACUGCUAACUCACAUAACGGUGCGCCGAAAUCAAUAAAAUUUCUCCAAUGGAUGAUGAUUUCUGUCAGACUUUCAAAGGGAGGCAUGAAGAUCAGGAUUUGCAUUAUUUAGUGAAAUAUAUAAGCCAAUUAAAUGUGUGUAAAAUAACUAGAAUUCUUAAAUUUCAGUCAAAUUAUCAAUUUGUAAAUUACGCCUUACUAUUUAUAGAAACAUUAAAGUAUACUUCACAAGAGAGCAUAUAUAUAUGGAAGUUAUUGGCCACUUCCUUAUGAGUUAUGAUUGUGAGACAUGUUAAAUAUGUUAUUGCUUAAUUUAAUUGAUUCUUCGGACAAUAGCAUUAUGUUUCUCUGCAAAUGUUGGACACGAUUUUUUUUAAUUUUUUUUACUUAUCCGUUAGAACAGGGCGAUUUAUGUAACUUUCUUGUUGAAUUUAGCCAAAAAACAGACGUUUGUUUUCCACUAAGAACAAUAAGACGUAUUACAGUGUAAGAUUUAUUCAAUUAUCGUAGUUGA